GGUUUAAGCGUGUAGGUGUGUGUUCCAGGUAAAUCCGGUUCACUUUAACACUGAGGCGUGACGACGAGGCACUACGGUGCUGAAGCAACAAAUGCCCUGCUUCCAGGAAAAGCCUCUAAGCAUCAGGUAACAUCAAAUCGUACCCCAAACCGACACAGGUGGUCAGGUAGAGAAUACCAAGGCGCUUGAGAGAACUCGGGUGAAGGAACUAGGCAAAAUGGUGCCGUAACUUCGGGAGAAGGCACGCUGACAUGUAGGUGAAGUGAUUUACUCAUGGAGCUGAAGUCAGUCGAAGAUACCAGCUGGCUGCAACUGUUUAUUAAAAACACAGCACUGUGCAAACACGAAAGUGGACGUAUACGGUGUGACGCCUGCCCGGUGCCGGAAGGUUAAUUGAUGGGGUCAGCGCAAGCGAAGCUCCUGAUCGAAGCCCCGGUAAACGGCGGCCGUAACUAUAACGGUCCUAAGGUAGCGAAAUUCCUUGUCGGGUAAGUUCCGACCUGCACGAAUGGCGUAAUGAUGGCCAGGCUGUCUCCACCCGAGACUCAGUGAAAUUGAACUCGCUGUGAAGAUGCAGUGUACCCGCGGCAAGACGGAAAGACCCCGUGAACCUUUACUAUAGCUUGACACUGAACAUUGAGCCUUGAUGUGUAGGAUAGGUGGGAGGCUUUGAAGCGUGGACGCCAGUCUGCGUGGAGCCGACCUUGAAAUACCACCCUUUAAUGUUUGAUGUUCUAACGUGGACCCGUUACCCGGGUUGCGGACAGUGUCUGGUGGGUAGUUUGACUGGGGCGGUCUCCUCCUAAAGAGUAACGGAGGAGCACGAAGGUUGGCUAAUCCUGGUCGGACAUCAGGAGGUUAGUGCAAUGGCAUAAGCCAGCUUGACUGCGAGCGUGACGGCGCGAGCAGGUGCGAAAGCAGGUCAUAGUGAUCCGGUGGUUCUGAAUGGAAGGGCCAUCGCUCAACGGAUAAAAGGUACUCCGGGGAUAACAGGCUGAUACCGCCCAAGAGUUCAUAUCGACGGCGGUGUUUGGCACCUCGAUGUCGGCUCAUCACAUCCUGGGGCUGAAGUAGGUCCCAAGGGUAUGGCUGUUCGCCAUUUAAAGUGGUACGCGAGCUGGGUUUAGAACGUCGUGAGACAGUUCGGUCCCUAUCUGCCGUGGGCGCUGGAGAACUGAGGGGGGCUGCUCCUAGUACGAGAGGACCGGAGUGGACGCAUCACUGGUGUUCGGGUUGUCAUGCCAAUGGCACUGCCCGGUAGCUAAAUGCGGAAGAGAUAAGUGCUGAAAGCAUCUAAGCACGAAACUUGCCCCGAGAUGAGUUCUCCCUGAGACUACGAGUCUCCUGAAGGAACGUUGAAGACGACGACGUUGAUAGGCCGGGUGUGUAAGCGCAGCGAUGCGUUGAGCUAACCGGUACUAAUGAACCGUGAGGCUUAACCUUACAACGCCG
rnacentral:rRNA from 1 species